rnacentral:lncRNA from 1 species
AUGGUAAGAUCAAUACGAGUAUCAUUAUGUAGUAGUGGUGGACCAAUUGGUUUUAUGGCUGUAAUGAUACCAUCCUUGACAUCCACUGUUUUCAAAAGAUCAAAAGAUUUUGUCAGCAAAUUGAAGGUAAUUCAACUCCAAAUGAACACUUAUUAAGUGGAAUUGGCCACAGUAAGAUUUGGUUUAGCGGCAUGAACUUCGUGGUAUUAAACUUGGUUUCACAACUUCAAUUGCUCUAUUAGCAAGGAGGUAAAGGGUAUCAUAGGUAUGUAAUAGCUAUGGCCUAUAGCGUUAUAUAAAAUGUUAAAAGGUGAGUUUUUUUUGCCUGUAUUUUUUUGUUUGAAAAAAAGGUAUAUCUUUUUUAAACUUGACCCACUUAAAUAAAUCUCUACCUAUGAUUAUAAUAAUUCUAGUUAUUACUACUUCGGAUAUCUCUGCAACCAUGUGACAAUUUCAAUUGCAGUUGUAAGCACAAUUCAAAACCCUUGCCUUAUGAAUAUAUUUCAAUACUAGUGGUGUUCAAGUCUUAAACCUAACUUGUCUCAAUUGAAACAAAUCACAAUGUAUUGGUUCUAAAAUUUGACCUAUUGUGUUUUUAGAUUAUAUCAUCCACUAUUCAUAUUUAAUUAGCAUUUGCUCUUCGAAAAAAAUAAUCCAAAUAAAUGGUAGAUGAUGAAUAGAUUUACAAUCUUAAAUUAUACUUUAUUACAUUUUAACAUAGUUAUAAGAUUCUUUCAUUUAAACUUAUGUCAUUUUACACUACUAAUAAAAAAAGUAUACAUCACGCUAACAUUUGUAUGAUGUCCCAUAGUUUAUAUUACUCUAUGUGUCGUUAUGGGCUUGUGGUCGGUCAGAAAAAAUAUAUUUAAAUUAAAAUUUAAUUAUUAAAUAUUUUUCUGAUCAAUCACAAACUCAUGGUAUAAAGAAUGACAUAAAUAUGUGGCUCCCAACAAUUUGGGCUAACUAAUUAUUGUAAUAGAAGAGUUAAAAUGUAAAUUUUUUAUAAACAAAAUGAUAAAAAUGUUAGUCUCACCAUUAAUGUUUGUCUUUUGUGUGUUAUUAUUAGCACUUGUCUUUCUAUUAAUAGAGGGCAUCCUAGCAUUGUCCUAUGUUCACUAAUUCUGUCUGCAUUUAUUUUUUCAUUUUCUAUGGAACCCAAAUUUGAUUAACUCUAGAUAAACAUAAAGACAAUAAUUCCAAAAUCAUGAACACAAGAAUGUGACAAAUCGCUAAUCAGCAGACAUUAAUUAAUAAAAUAUAAAAAUGAAAUAUCUAUACCAUUAAUAAAGGGAAUGCAUAAAAUAACUACUCAUCAUUGUGUAAUUUGUGUUUUCCUAUUUUGCCCUCAAUAUCUUUUUAUUUAUACCAAAAAACCAUAUAAUAUUAUUUUCUUAUUUUAUCCUUAUUAUUUUCUUAUUUUAAAAGUGUAUUUAAAAAAUUGAAUAUUAGACCAAUUGAAUAUAUUCAACCGUAAUUUAGCGCAAAAAAUUAUAUUUGAAUUUAUAAAAUACAAACUAUACAUUACAAACGAUAGGAAAGCGGGUUGACAGACACGAUAGUGCAUGUCAACAAGCUAGUGAGAAUAAAUGAAGAAUAAAUGAAGAAGGUUAAAUAUAUUAACGGUGAUGAUCGAAGAUAGAUAAGAUACCUGGAAAAGAGAACCACCACAGAAAGAAGAUGCAUAGCAGCAGAAUUACGGGAAUUACGUGAUUCCAAUUCUCCGGCGAUCGUGACCAGGAAGAGUCCCUCCUGACGGCAGCGCUCCGGCGAUGAUAAAGAGGAAGACCGUCAAGAAAAUCAUUGUCGCCAGAUUUUCUUCGCUGCUGCUCCUCGCCUGAACCGCGUGAAUUUGAACUUGCCGAUCUCAACUGCAUGUUUCACCGAAACACUGAGAAAGGAAAGAAGAAGAAAUGGAAGAAAGGGAAUGGAGGAUUCGCUUCUCGUGUCACUGGUUGGUUAGUUCGUUAUUCUCGUUAACGUACUUUUGUGCUUCUUUCACUCUUGAGAUGCAUGCUGUGUAUGUUAUCAUUGUUAUUGUUACACCAUACCAUUCAAUAAAGGUUAGUGUUUAUUUGAUUUCUUAAAUAGUUAAAAACAAUACUAACAUGCUGCAAUAUGCCAAAUAGGAAUUUUGUUAUUUAGCAGUGUUCAGCUAGCUUUAAAAAACUGGCUUAUUUUAAACAGUUACUACUUUUUCUCAUAUAUCACUUUAUAAACC